rnacentral:rRNA from 1 species
GACGAACGCUGGCGGCGUGCUUAACACAUGCAAGUCGAGCGGUAAGGCCCUUUCGGGGGUACACGAGCGGCGAACGGGUGAGUAACACGUGGGUGACCUGCCCUCAGCUCUGGGAUAAGCCUGGGAAACUGGGUCUAAUACUGGAUAUGACUCCACGGUGCAUGUCGUGGGGUGGAAAGCCUUGUGCGGCUGAGGAUGGGCCCGCGGCCUAUCAGCUUGUUGGUGGGGNGAUGGCCUACCAAGGCGACGACGGGUAGCCGGCCUGAGAGGGCGACCGGCCACACUGGGACUGAGACACGGCCCAGACUCCUACGGGAGGCAGCAGUGGGGAAUCUUGCGCAAUGGGCGAAAGCCUGACGCAGCGACGCCGCGUGAGGG